CAAACCAGAUGCACCAGAGUCAGCCUGUGGCCUGACUCUAAGACCAAGAGCUGCAUUACUAUUAUUUGUAGUAAUUGUUAGAAUCUAAAAGAUUUCAGUCAGGUUAUUAGGUUUAGGAUACAAGGACCAAAAUCACAACUUAAUAAAAUGUGAUUGUUGGAGUCACUGGAGCAACUGGUUUUCAUAGACAACUCCUCGUGGAUCCAAAGAGAAUGCCGAGUCAUAACUUUUGUAGAUAUUAGAAACUAUAAGUAUGGGAAUAUGGACACAACAGUAUAUCAGCAUCAUCAUUCCUGGGGCAAGACAUAAAGUGUGUCCUGGAAGCUGAUCCCUGGACCAAAACACAUUUAUAUGCUGUAGACAUGGACAAGUUCUGAGGUGAGAUAGAGGAAUCCUAAUCACAAUAGAUGAGGUACAAACAUUUCCAAGGAAAUUAUUAUUUA
rnacentral:lncRNA from 1 species